rnacentral:rRNA from 1 species
UGGGGAAUUUUGGACAAUGGGGGAAACCCUGAUCCAGCCAUCCCGCGUGUGCGAUGAAGGCCUUCGGGUUGUAAAGCACUUUUGGCAGGAAAGAAACGUCAUGGGUUAAUACCCCGUGAAACUGACGGUACCUGCAGAAUAAGCACCGGCUAACUACGUGCCAGCAGCCGCGGUAAUACGUAGGGUGCAAGCGUUAAUCGGAAUUACUGGGCGUAAAGCGUGCGCAGGCGGUUCGGAAAGAAAGAUGUGAAAUCCCAGAGCUCAACUUUGCAACUGCAUUUUUAACUACCGGGCUAGAGUGUGUCAGAGGGAGGUGGAAUUCCGCGUGUAGCAGUGAAAUGCGUAGAUAUGCGGAGGAACACCGAUGGCGAAGGCAGCCUCCUGGGAUAACACUGACGCUCAUGCACGAAAGCGUGGGGAGCAAACAGG